UACAGAGGUCUCAAGCGUUGUUCGGAUUCAUUGGGCGUAAAGGGUGCGUAGGCGGCGCGGUAAGUCGGGUGUGAAAAGCUGGGGCUCAACCCCAGUCCUGCUUCCGAUACGGGUGGACUAGAGGUAUGCAGGGGAGAACGGAAUUCCUGGUGUAGCGGUGAAAUGCGCAGAUAUCAGGAGGAACACCGGUGGCGAAGGCGGUUCUCUGGGCAUUACCUGACGCUGAGGAGCGAAAGCGUGGGGAGCGAACAGG
rnacentral:rRNA from 1 species